rnacentral:tRNA from 1 species
GUCCCUGUAGCGCAAUGGACAGUGCUUUGGACUUCUCAUCCAAAGGUCGUGGGUUCGAAUCCCAUCCGGGAUA